rnacentral:piRNA from 1 species
UNUCAGAUGUAUACCUGCAGGUGUUAAGGUU